AUUGAACGCUGGCGGCAUGCCUUACACAUGCAAGUCGAACGGCAGCACGGACUUCGGUCUGGUGGCGAGUGGCGAACGGGUGAGUAAUGUAUCGGAACGUACCUUUCAGUGGGGGAUAACGUAGCGAAAGUUACGCUAAUACCGCAUAUUCUGUGAGCAGGAAAGCAGGGGAUCGCAAGACCUUGCGCUGAUUGAGCGGCCGAUAUCAGAUUAGCUAGUUGGUGAGGUAAAGGCUCACCAAGGCGACGAUCUGUAGCGGGUCUGAGAGGAUGAUCCGCCACACUGGAACUGAGACACGGUCCAGACUCCUACGGGAGGCAGCAGUGGGGAAUUUUGGACAAUGGGGGCAACCCUGAUCCAGCCAUGCCGCGUGAGUGAAGAAGGCCUCGGUU
rnacentral:rRNA from 1 species